AGAGUGAACGCUGGCGGCAGGCCUAAUACAUGCAAGUCGAACGGUAACAGGCCGCAAGGUGCUGACGAGUGGCGAACGGGUGAGUAAUGUAUCGGAACGUGCCCAGUCGUGGGGAUAACGCAGCGAAAGCUGCGCUAAUACCGCAUACGAUCUAUGGAUGAAGCGGGGGACGUAAGGCCUCGCGCGAGUUGGAGCGGCCGAUAUCAGAUUAGGUAGUUGGUGGGGUAAGGCUCACCAAGCCAACGAUCUGUAGCGUGUCUGAGAGGACGACCAGCCACACGUGGACUGAGACACGGCCCACGACUCCUACGGGACGGCACGCAGGUAGGGUAAGUUUU
rnacentral:rRNA from 1 species